AUUGAUCCAAUUUUGUUGGACAAUAUUUGUUAGAAUAUGUAAAUAGUAGAACCCUAAUCCAAUGUAUAUUAGGAGUAGGAUAGGUUAUGUGUAUAUAUAUAUAGAGCUCAUUGUACUAUGUUUAAUACCAAUUACAUAUUUCUCCCGUGCUUUCUCACAUGGUAUCAGAGCAAUCGUGAGAGAUUUAACGCUGUGCAUAAAUUCCAGCGAUUCCGGGAAGUAAAAUCAGCCAUCGGAACCCUUUUCCGGCGACUUUUUCAAGUAAAAUCAGUCUCGGUCAGUGCUGUGCAAAAUCCAGCAAUACCAAAAGACUCGCCUCUGUCCGGCGCCAAAACCCCAGAAAUUUCUCCGGCCAACUCAGCCCCACGCGCCCCUACGCGCC
rnacentral:lncRNA from 1 species